rnacentral:rRNA from 1 species
CGGCACGGGUGAGUAACACGUAUGCAAUCCACCUGUAACAGGGGAUAACCCGGAGAAAUCCGGACUAAUACCCAUAAUAUGGGCGCUCCGCACGGAGAGUCCAUUAAAGAGAGCAAUCUUGGUUACAGACGAGCAUGCGCUCCAUUAGCCAGUUGGCGGGGUAACGGCCCACCAAGGCGACGAUGGAUAGGGGUUCUGAGAGGAAGGUCCCCCACAUUGGAACUGAGACACGGUCCAA